rnacentral:rRNA from 1 species
GGGCCCGCACAAGCGGUGGAGUAUGUGGUUUAAUUCGAUGCAACGCGAAGAACCUUACCAGGGUUUGACAUCCUGCGAAUCUCUUGGAAACGAGAGAGUGCCUUCGGGAGCGCAGUGACAGGUGGUGCAUGGCUGUCGUCAGCUCGUGUCGUGAGAUGUUGGGUUAAGUCCCGCAACGAGCGCAACCCACGUCUUUAGUUGCCAGCAUUUAGUUGGGCACUCUGAAAGAACUGCCAGUGAUAAGCUGGAGGAAGGUGGGGAUGACGUCAAGUCCUCAUGGCCCUUACGUGUAGGGCUACACACGUGCUACAAUGGCCGGUACAAACGGUUGCGAACCCGCGAGGGGAAGCUAA